GACGAACGCUGGCGGCGUGCUUAACACAUGCAAGUCGAACGGAAAGGCCCUGCUUUUGUGGGGUGCUCGAGUGGCGAACGGGUGAGUAACACGUGAGUAACCUGCCCUUGACUUUGGGAUAACUUCAGGAAACUGGGGCUAAUACCGGAUAGGAGCUCCUGCUGCAUGGUGGUGGUUGGAAAGUUUCGGCGGUUGGGGAUGGACUCGCGGCUUAUCAGCUUGUUGGUGGGGUAGUGGCUUACCAAGGCUUUGACGGGUAGCCGGCCUGAGAGGGUGACCGGGCACAUGGGGACUGAGAUACGGCCCAGAAUCCUACGGGAGGCAGCAGUGGGGAAUAUUGCACAAUGGGCGGAAGCCUGAUGCAGAAACGCCGCGUGCGGGAUGACGGCCUUCGGGUUGUAAACAGCUUUCGCCUGUGACGAAGAGUGAGUGACGGUAAUGGGUAAAGAAGCACCGGCUAACUACGUG
rnacentral:rRNA from 1 species